AAUUUGUUCCUCCAUGCUUAAAGUGCAUUGAACGUGAAUCUACUAAUUCUUCACCUGAAUGUUCAAAUGCUUCAACUGUUACAAAUUCUUCACCUGCCUCUGCUAUCACUAAUUCCUCAUCUGAGGACAUUGCUAGUAUCACUAACGAUGCAGGGUUGAAGGAAUUGUACAUGACAUGCAUGUACAAAAGCCUCAAAGGGCAUCAGACUCUUUGUGAUGUGCUUAAAAAGCAGAUCCUCAACAGGAACCCUAGGAAAGAGGGUAUUGCCUUUGAGAGGAAACUCAAUGCUGAUGGAACAUAUUGGAAGUCUGAGCAGUACCCCAAAACCUCAUGGGUUGCUGCAAAGGGACCUCUAGUUGAUCCAUCUAACUUAUCUGGCUUUACAUGUGAAUCUCCUCAUUCUUCUAACGAGUCAUUUGACUCCAACUAUAAACUGUUCAAAAAUCAGAAUGGUGAAGUAUUUGCUAGAUAUGUUGGCACUAACUGUAGGAACGGUUCUCCUAUGAAGAAAAUCUGGGUUCCCAAGAAGUGCCUAGAAAGUAUUUAGGUGAAUUUCCUCAUGACACCACCUGUGAAGAAUAGGAACCCCAGAUCAAACUCUUCAUAUGGACCAAAUUCUUCAUAUGGAUCCAAGUCCUCAUACGGACCAAAUUCCUCACGUGGAUCAAAUUCCUCAAAAGGAUCAAAGUCCUCAUAUGAUUAUCAUCGUGCUAACAACUCUGUUUCGCAGGGUAGAGCUAAGGGCUAUGAAUAUGUGCAUUAUUCUUCAAACCAAUAUGUUCAUAAGUCCUCGAAGAAUUUCUCUGCUUAUUCAUAUGCUUACCCUAACCCCUCUUAUGUGAAACGAAAUGGAUUGGCUUCUAUGCCACCAUUCUCAUAUGGAGCUCGUAGAGUGAUGAACUCUUUGCCACCCCUUCAGAUAUGGGUGGUGAAGAAAAAUAACUAAUCUCUUCCGCAAGGUCAGUUCUCUAGACGCGCCUUAACGUCUGAAGAAUUUGCUGGGGGCCUGACAAAAAUGCCUGAAAGGACGCAGGCGAAUCAUGAUGAAAUGAACUUUCAUUUCACAUGUCCUCAUACUGUUAUAUCUGUUUUUACUCUUUGAUGACAUUCAUCUGAUGAAUUUGAUAUCAUAUUCUUCACUGAUGAAGUAUAUGAGUUCGUAAGUUGCACUAAUUCAUCUGCAGGAUGAUCAACCCAAAGCCAGUGAGUGGGUCCUCGAUAGUGGAUGUACAAAUCACAUGACUGGUGAAAAGAACCUAUUGAUGGAUGCUCCCUUAUCACCGUCACAUCUAAAGCAUAUCAUCUUUGUUGACAAAGGCAAGAGUCAGGUAUUGGGUCUAGGUAAGGUUGCGAUCUCAAAGGAUCUACACAUGGACAAAGUCAUGCUUGUCGAGUCCUUAGGAUACAACCUCAUGUCUGUCUUAAUGCUUUGUGAUCUUGAUAUGGUUGUUGUCUUUGGCAAGUAUCGUUGUGUUGUGAUCAUGGAAGCUGACCAUUCCAAAGUCUUUGAAGGCUUUAGGAGAGGAGAUCUGUAUAUUGUUGAUUUUUCUACAGGACCACAACCAGCUGUGUGCUUACUUGCAAAAGCUUCAGAAGGCUGGCUAUGGCAUCGACGACUUGGUCAUGCUGGCAUGAGGAAUCUGAACACGCUAGCAAAGAAGAAGCAUGUCAUUGGCAUUGAGAAAUGUCAAAUUCCUCAAGGAUCACUUAUGUGGAGCUUGUGAAGCAGGAAAGAUGACAAAGGCCAAGCAUCCAGCGAAGACUAUCAUGACCACCACUCGACCAUUUGAAUUGCUUCACAUGGAUCUUUUUGGUCCUAAUCAUUAUUCUGCUGUUUCAAAUGAUGCAUCUCUAUAUGGCUUUGUUAUUGUUGAUGACUAUUCUCGUUACACAUGGGUAAACAUUGUCACUUACAAACAUGAAGUGCAGGAAAUCUUCAAACGAUUUUCCUCGAGGGCUUCAAUCAACUUUGGUGUGAAGAUCAAGCACAUCAGAACUGACAAUGGGACCGAGUUCAAGAAUUCCGGUCUUGAUGGCUAUCUUGAUGAACUUGGUAUUACUCAUGAGUUAUCUUCUCCUUAUACUCCUCAGCAGAAUGGCGUCGUGGAGCGCAAGAACAUAACCCUUGCUGAAAUGGCUCGCACUAUGCUUGAUGAAUACAAAACACCUUGUUGUUUUUGAAUUGAUGCAAUUGAUACCGCAUGUCACAUCAUCAACAGAGUAUAUCUUCACAAAUUCUUCAAGAAGACUGCCUAUGAACUCCUCACUGACAAGAAACCCAAUAUGAGUUAUUUCAAAGUCUUCGGUGCUAAAUGUUGGAUUAGAGAUCCUCAUCACAAUGCAAAAUUUGCACCGAAAACACAUGAAGGUUUUAUGCUUGGUUACGAAAAGGACUCGCACACCUACAGAGUCUUCAACAACGUUCUCCACAAGGUUGUUGAAACUGUAGAUGUGCGGUUCGAUGAAACUAAUGGCUCGCAAAAAGAGCACCUAUCGUCUGUGAUAUAUGAACCAGCACCUGAGGAUUCUAUCAAGUUCAAGGCAACUGAGGAUGUCAUUCCUACUGAAGAAUCAGCUGAAGAAUUCAUUCCAUAACACGAAGAACGUCGAGCUAAUGCACCUGAAGACAAUGCUGAAGAAAAUGGUGCUGAAGAAAAUGUUGAUCAAGUUCCUCGACGACAACCAGCUCAUCCUCGCGUUGCAAAAGAAGUGCAAGUUGAUAAGAUCAUCGAUGACAUUGAAGCACCAGGUCCUCUCACACGCUCAAAAGCUUCACAUUUAUCUAACUUUUGUGGGCACUAUGCUUUUGUCUCCAUCACAGAGCCCACUAAGGUAGAUGAAGCAUUUCUGGAGCCUGAGUGGAUUCAGGCCAUGCAAGAAGAAUUACAUCAGUUCGAGCUCAACAAUGUCUGGGAACUGGUCAAAGGUCCAGAUCCUCACAAGCAUAAUAUCAUUGGCACAAAGUGGAUCUACCGCAACAAGCAAGAUGAAAAUGGCCUUGUGGUGAGGAAUAAGGCACGACUUGUAGCUCAAGGCUACACACAGGUUGAAGAAAUUGAUUUCGAUGAAACUUUUGCACCUGUUGCUAGACUUGAGGCUAUUUGCAUAUUACUUUCUUACGCUAACCAUCAUAAUAUCACUUUAUAUCAAAUGGAUAUGAAAAGUGCAUUCCUCAAUGGUAAGCUUGAGGAAGAGGUAUAUGUUGCUCAACCCCCAGGUUUUGAAGACCCAAAAAAUCCUGACAAAGUCUUCAGACUCAACAAGGACCUCUAUGGCCUGAGGCAGGCCCCUCGGGCGUGGUAUGAUACUUUGAAGGAAUUCUUCAUGAAGAAUGGCUUCACACCCGGUUCACUCGACCCUACUCUCUUUACUAAAUCUUAUGAUGGUGAACUAUUUGUGUGCCAAAUAUACGUUGAUGAUAUUAUCUUUGGCUGUACUCACCAAUGUUAUAGUGAUGAAUUUGCCUAUAUGAUGAGUGAAGAAUAUCAAAUGUCUAUGAUGGGAGAGUUGAAAUUCUUCUUAGGUCUUCAAAUUCAUCAAUAGCACAAUGGCAUAUUCAUAUCUCAAGAGAAAUACCUCAAGGAUGUUUUGAGGAAAUUCGGCAUGCAAGAUUGCAAAGGCGUCAAAAUUCCUAUGCCCACAAAUGGCCAUCUAUGCACUGAUGAAAAUGGUAUUGACUUCGAUCACAAGGUAUACCGCUCCAUGAUUGGUUCUUUAUUGUACUUAUGUGCAUCUAGGCCAGAUAUAAUGCUUAGUGUUUGCAUGUGUGCCCGAUUUUAAGCUACACCAAAGGAAUCACACCAUAAGGCUGUGAAGCAUAUUCUUCAUAUCUAGCUCACACACCAACACUAGGAUUAUGGUACCCCAAGGGCUCUACUUUUGAUCUCAUUGGAUAUUCUGACUCUGACCAUGCUGGUGAUCGUGUGGACCGCAAGUCAACAUCUGGUACUUGUCAUUUCCUCGGACGAUCUUUGGUCUGUUGGUCCUCGAAAAAACAGAACUGCGUAUCACUGUCCACUGCGGAAGCUGAGUACAUUGCUGCUGGUUCUUGUUGUGCUCAAUUGCUGUGGAUGAAGCAAACUCUCAAGGACUACGGCAUCAACGUGAAGAAUGUGCCUCUCUACCAUGACAAUGAGAGUGCCAUCAAGAUUGCUCACAACCCAGUUCAGCACUCGAAGCCAAAGCACAUUCAGAUUUGUCAUCAUUUUCUUCGUGAUCAUGUGUUGAAGGGCGACAUCUCCAUCAAGCAUGUGAAGACUGAAGAACAGCUAGCAGAUAUCUUCACAAAGCCCUUGGAUGAGAAGAGAUUUAUCAAGUUGCGGUGUGAGCUAAAUAUCUUAGAAUCUUCAAAUGUUCUUUGAAAAGGACACACAUCUUGACACUUAUGCAAAAUUGAUGACUUAGAUGUGCAACACAUGAAGAAAGGUUUUUCUUCAAUCAAUGAAGAAUAACACUCUAAGUGUGAAGAAAUUAAUGAAGAAUUUGAUUCUCAGAACCCUACGACAAUUGUACGCGAUGUCUGAAAUCAUCAUUCUUAUACGGUGGGUCACGCCACCACCAAAGUUGAAAAUCUUCAUUUUUGAAAUUCCUCGGUUUUGAAAUUCUUCAGUUUUUCAAAUUCUUCAACUUUGCGAAAUCUUCACUGUUUCCGUCGUUUUUCUUCAUUGGCUAUAUAUAUAUAUAUAUGAGUUUAUGUCCUCUACAGCAUUCACUUAUGGCUAUUUCUUCAAGUUGUUUUUUCUGCUAAGUGAAUGUGAUCGGACCCUUCCCUCUCUAUGCUAUACUCAACCCAAUCUAUUCAUAAAUUCUUCAUGUGCGUUCUAUUUGAAGCUCGUUCAAAAUCUUCACUGAGUCCUUAUCAGCUGAAGAAUUUGCGAACGGAACUUUUAACUAAUCUUAUCCAAAAUUUUCGGUUUUGCCGCUCAAACCGUUCCGCAUCCCACGAUAGAUUUAUCUAUUCACCCACGAUCUAACACGAUCUCCACUUCUUAGUACGUGGGUGACACAUGUCAAGCGGAUGAGAAGGGUCAGGGGCAUGUUCGUCCUAAAUCUUUGGGCAAACAGUUUUUCACUGCGACUAUAAAUACCCCUCUCCCCUUCCUCACUUUCUUUACUCCACUCGACCGCUCUCUCUCUCUCGCUCGAGCUUCUCAAACCCUAGCACUGCCGCUACUCCAUCGUCGCCGGUGAGGAAGAGCUUCACUGCCUCGACCUCGUCGCCGUUGUACUCGCGCUGGCCGCGGAAAUCUUCACCCCGCCGCCACCGUAGCUGUCUUCCUCUGCCGAGUUAGGGCGUGGAAGAUCUGAACUGACGAGCUUCAAAUCUACACUUCUCAGUUCGUCGUGUUCUUCAUCCAGGGUAAUUAAAAGUUACUUUUACUGCCCUCUUUGAUUCAAAUUUUCUCUACAAAAUCUUCAAAGGUGUUUUAUUCUUCAAAUCCUCACAAACAAAACACCUCACUAGUCAUCUGUUCUUGAUUCGUUUCUCUAAGCAUAAUUUUUCUUCAAGAUUCCUCAAUUGUGUGGAUCCUCGAUCUAUACAACUCUGGAACCUAAGACAAAGAACGCUUAGUGAAAAUCUUCAAGGCUCAUCUGGUCAAAUUCCUCAAACUUGAUUUUUUUUGAAAAACUUUCUGAGAACGCAUAUGACCUCUCCAAAUUCCUCGCAACUAUACUCUGUUCACAGGUACUCAUGUCCGCUGCUGAAUCACUAGGUUUUCAUCAACUUAACUCAUUUGCAGCGUUCCUCGAAGAAAAGUUGCAUACUUCUUCAGAGAAUUCGAUUGUUCAAAUUCCUCAACUGAAGAAUAUGGCAGACGGUAAGAAGCCACAGAAAGGAGGAAAGAGGCCUGAGGUCAUGACUGCAUUUGAAAUACCUGAGGACAUCUAUGCUGACUAUUGCACACCUGAUGAGGCCAAGUUCGGAAAGGAGAACAAAACUCAGCGCAAGGUGCGCAUACAGAGGAUUGAAAGGAGAUGAGCAAGAGAAUGGAGGGAGUACAGAUAUGUAACUCCGAAGUAUAUGAAGAAAUUCGCACUAAAUCCUUCAUGCCCAAGAGCUCCAUUGGCACCUGGCCAAGAAGCUGACCCCACCAGCAUCAAGCGUGGUGAGGAUUUUCCUGAAGAAUUGGCCAAACGCCAAGCCAAGUUGGCGAGACAAGCCAAAGAAGCAAUGAGUAAAUUCAAUGAAGACUCUGCUACUGCUGCUGCCACUGAGGCCUCUGUCAAGCCUAGAAAAUCAAUGGCAAAGAAGCCCGCUCACAAGCCAAGUGCUUCACCAACUAUGCCCUCACGGCCAAGUUCCUCAGCAAUGCCCUCACGGCCAGAUUCUUCCAAGCCCUCACAACCAGAUUCUUGAAAGCCCUCACGGCCAGUUCCUCAUGCUGCUCCUGCUCCUCCAAAAUCCUCAGCUCCUCCCCCAAAGUCCUCAGCUGCUCCGGCAAAAUUCUCAACACCUGUACAUCUGGCCACGUGCCAAAGGACUACAAGCAUCUCUAUUGCCUUUGGUGCCUCAACGAGUUCCUCAGCUGCACCAAAAUCUUCAUCAGGCCCCACUCUGCUGAAGACAAAGGCAACGGCUGGUCGAGGUCCUCGGCCAAGUCUGAAGAAGAAAUAGGUUGCCUUACAAGUGCCAUCUGACGAUGAAGCUGAUGAUGAUGAACUUGCAGAAAUCAUCAGAGAUAGACAAGAAAGGGCCGCUAGAGCCAAAGGCACAAAUGUGGCACUCCUUUUGGAUCCAAGGGCGAUCCUCGAUUACAUCGAUCUCUGGCACAAGGAUCCAAACACCCCUAUGCCUGAUUUUCAUUUGACUCCUAGCCAAAGUCACAUGCUGACCCAUUUCAUCACUAAAGAGAAAUGGAAAUUUGAGAAGGCUAGGCAGAUCAAAAAGGCUUAGUUCAGGAAAGAGAAGUUCCUGAGGAAAAACGUUGUCAAAAUGACAAUUGAUGAACUCCUCAAGAUCCAGUCUGAAAUCAAAGCCCUCAACGAUGAUUUCAAUGCUUAUUAUGCUGAUUGGCAAGGAGCCAAAGUCAGGUUCGUUAAACUGACUGAUAAGUUCACCAAUGUUGCAGCCCCAUCGCAACAAGAAAUUCCUCAAGCUGGAGCUUCUGCUCAGCCAACUGAAGAACAUGCCAGCACCGCUGAUGACUUCCAGGCUGCUGAUGAAAAUGAUAGUUCCAGGGCUGAUGACUCCAUUCCAGCCGCUGAAAAAAUUGCCAGGGCAUCCACUAGUGAUGCGCCUGAAGAAACUGAAGAAGUCAGGACAACUGCAUCAGUUUCGCCUAAGAAAGUUCAAACAAAUUCCUCAGCUCCUCCUGCGCCUACACCAACUCAUAUCCUUCCAUCUGCAUUAGAUGUGAGGAAGAUCAAGGCUGCAGAGCGAGCUACAGUGAAGAAAAGUAAAGCAUCAGCUGCUUCAGAUUCUUCAGCUCCGAAGAAAAUGAAGCCUAUGACAAGCUUGCCUGAAAAUCCAAUUGAUGUUGUUCCGAUUUCCACCAUGCCAUCAAAGGACCUUGUUCCUUUUGGUGAAGAAUAUGUGAUCCCCAGCGGAUCUGAUGAAGAAAAUCAUUCUGCUGCUUCGUCAGAGCAGAUUGAUGAAGAAAUUGAAGUGGAUGCGAUCCCUUCAACGCCUGUUUCCUCGCCAAUGCCUCAGUUCACAGCUGAAGAGGCUGGCGUUGAAGAAAUUAAACAUGAAGACAUGGACAUUGGCUGCACAACGCCCGUGAUGAAUGAUGACUUUUGGGAAAGUCAGCACCCCAAUUCUCCACUCUUCACCCCAAUACAACAAAUAACUCAGUCCCCUGCACCAACCGUUCAAAUGGGCUCUGAAGAAACUCAUCCCACCUCAUUUGUGCAUGAAGAAAUUCGAGCCACUAGUGCUGAAGAAACUGCUGCUGCUGAUCCUUUGAACAUGCAGACUGCCACUGAGGCCCUCUUUGUUUGGGCUAGAGAUUGCUGAGAAUCAGCUGCCACUUGGAUUUCAAAAAUCCGCUACAGCUCCAGAUUUUGAGAAUCCAAAUCUGACUGUUUGUUUACCCCGGUUUUGGAAAAACAAAAUGUUGUGAAGUGUCUACAACGCCCCUGAUGUUGUCGAGUGCAGGACGCCGGAGAGGGGCGGCGUACGCAGAAAUCGGGGCGGUGUGUGCAUCGCUGGUGGAGCUCGUGGGCAGCGGCGGAGACGGAGCUUGCUGGCCGGAAUACGGGGUGGACGGAUCCGCCGUCCUGUAGGCGAGCAGGCUGGCAUACGCGGAGAUCAGGGACGGCGCAUUGCUGGCGGAGCUCGUGGGCAACGACGGAGACGCAGCUCGGUAACCGGAAUACAGGGAGGGACAUGCAUGGUGGUGUCAGAUUCGGCCAUCCUGGAGUCGACGGGCCUCGGGAAGGUGGUGGAGGAGGCAGGGGUUGGUGGCCGGAAUACAUGCUUUUGCUCAGGUGAGAAAGAACGAGGGGACAGAGAACCUGUCGUGGGGAGAUUUGGAUAAUGGCAAGGAGAUUUGGAUAAGGGCAGCAGUGGCAUUCCUGGUGUAAUAAUGGGGAUAACUUGGUCUAGACUUUAACUUGGGUAAGUGGCCGCUCGGGAAUCGCCCGAAUCACUAGAUUCGUAGCUUCCGGCUUGGACUUGCGUGGUAGUUGAUUUCCAGAAGCAAUUCUAGGAAGCUUGUGUGAGAAUCUGUGUGUUUGUUUUAGUUUCUGAUUUUGUGAGGCAUAGAAUCUAGAAUCAAUAGCUACAGCUCAAACAAAGGCCACCUGAAGAGGAACCAGAAAUUCCUCAGCCUGAAGAACCUAAAAUUGCGAUUCCUGAGGUAGUGAUGCAACUCACUAACACUCCUCUGCCAAAACCAAAGGAUCCAUUCUAAAAGAAGCAAAAGUUCAAGGCUGAAGAUUUCUUCAGCGAGCAUGUGUUCUUCACAGAUUACAACCCCUAUGAUUCUGCUCGCAUAAGAAUGAGGUGUUUCUGGACGGCCAGCCAGGCCAAUUUCUAUUCCUCAGUGUUGUUCAACAAAGAUAAAGUCUUCGAUCAUGAACACAUUCCUCACGUGGACAUGGAAUCUCUGUCGGGCUUCGAGCCAGUCCUCAGUGUUCUUCAUGAUGCUGGAUUGCUGAAUUUCUGCACUAACAUCUGUGAUUGGAAUGAAGAACUCAUUCUUCAAUUCUAUGCGAUGCUGCACAUCAUAGGAAAUUCUAAAGAUGUGAAUUCAUGGGUGCUGGACUGGAUGUCUGAAAAUACUCACUACAAGGCACCAGCUACUGAAUUGCUUCGUGUCUUACCACUCAGUCCUUCCCUUGACGGUGCUCAUUGCGUCUACAGUGAACCUGAGCUUUCAAAUCAUUACAUGCAAGUGCUGAUGAAGCCUUUGAAGCCAGGGCAGGCCCCUCGAACCAAAUUCCUCGUCAAGGAAUUACUGUAUGUGCCUCGGACAGUCUAUCGCAUUCUGAAAAAGACAAUGAGUCCUAUCAAAGGCCACGACUCAAAUGAUGAAGAAGUCAUUGGCAUCAUGAAGAAUAUGCUUUUCAAUAUCAUUCAUGGCGUUUCCGUCAACUUCCAUGAUUUCUUCAUAAGGACUCUGGCGAAUAUUGCUAUGUCACCAUUUGAGCUGAAGCCUUAUGCACCAUGGAUUAUGAGGUUCAUCAGGACAAGGUCUUCACUCAAUUACAAGGCUAACAUGAACCACGGCAGCUACUUGCCUCCAAUUGAAGUCCUCAAACGGACAUUUUCCUCAGCUGAUGACAAAGGCAAGGCAACUGUUGUGAUAGAUGAAGGCAUUCGUCCAUUGGAUGGUCAAUUUCACAAGGCUGCAUCCUACUCCACCAAUGAUGACUCUGCCACACAUGACUCUGCCGCCAAGCAAAAUUCUCAAGCCACAUCACCCAGGGUGAUUACUGAUCGUGAGUUACUCCUCAGUCUUCAUCAGAAAGUUGAUCGCAAUCAUAAAUGGGUCAAGCGUCAGUUUGGUUCAAUUCUUCACAAUAUGACAUCAACACACAAUGCAGUGAAGAAAAACCACUACUAUCUCCAUGAAACCUUCAACCGUACCUGGGCUGUUCUAUCUCAUGUCUACAACGCAAAAGAUCUGAAGAAAAUGGGUCUCAAGGAAGAAUUUGACUGGUCUGCACCUCCACCGAAGAAAUUCAAGAAGGUCAAGGUUCCUUCCUUGGUGGCCAGCUCCUAUUCUUCAUCGCGCGACACUGAUGAAAAUGAAGACUUGGAUGACACUACGGCGGGCCAUACUACGACAACCGACCCCGACAACGCUGGCGCUCCUCCAUCAACUUGAUAAUCUUCAGGGGCGUUAGUCCUCAGUUUCGAUCCUUUUGGUCAUUCGAUGACAAAGGGGGAGAAAUUUGAGUUAGUCUUCAAACGGGUCUAUUAUAUGGGCGAUUUUGCUAAGUUACAACUCUCGUUCUUCUGAAACUUUAUUGGAUCGAGUUGUAAUCUUAAACCCGAUGGUGCUUUGAUACUUUUGAUGCACUGUGCUCUGAUACUCUUGAUGCGUUAUUCUGCAUGCUUGUUCCUCAUUAAUAUUAUUGCACGCAUGCUGAAUUUCAUCAGGCACCAUAUUUUAUCAUGCAUUUCAAAUUCUUCAUAUUAUAUGUCAAAUGCGUGUAUGAAUUACAAGAUAUAGGGGGAGAUCUCCAUGAUUCUACUCUUCAAAUGUGCAUUGCCUCAAAAGCAAAUUCCUUACUAUGCACAUCUUCAUGGGGAGUUCUUCUAUAUCUUGCAAUCAAAUUCCUCAAUAUCAGUACUUGCACUUCAUAUGUUUAUCCCCGUUGAAAACUUAACAUAUAUUGUCAUCAAUCACCAAAAAGGGGGAGAUUGUAAGUGCAUCUAGUGCCCCUUAGUGAUUUUGGUGUAUUGAAGACUUAUAGGUUAAGGGACUAAUGUGUUUAUGAGUGCACACAUGUCUAUAAGUCUAUGAGAAGUUUGAUAUUUACAGAGAAAGUCGACCCCUAAAAAUGAAGUUCUUCGACUAAAUACUUUGAUAUUCUGAAGACUUUCUGAAGACUUUGAAAGUGAAGAAAUCGGUGUGACCUUGAAGACUUGGAAUUCAUUUGAGGAACAUGAAGCGUGAAUACUUUUGUUUUCGUUGUUUCGUUUUCUCUUUCUUGAGUCAUAGGAAACACCGUACUGUUAAAGGGGGUCGAGGAAAUACUAAAGAAAAAUUUCCAUGUGAUGCUCAACUCAAAAUCCUACACCUACCAAACCCUUCGAAUGAAGCCUUUGGAAAUCUCAUACAGUUCAGUCAAUUUCUUCAAUGACAGAGACGAAGUUCUUCUGGUCGCUGAGGAAUUUGUUCGGACUGAGGAGUUAGGAAUUCGCUAGUGCGGAUUGCCUACACAGUGAGGAACAUGAUAGCCCUGAGGAAUUUGAGAGUCAAAUUUCUGACCGUUGCUGUGAUGCGCGCCAGCUAUUCCAAAAUAUCUUAUCCACCUAACAGUCAUAUCAUUGAGGGCAUUUAUGUCUUAUCAUGUCGGGCUGCUCCCUAGGCUAUAAAUAGCCGCCCCCUACAACCACUAGCUGGUUGGCUGCUCCGAGAGAAACUGACACUUGUCAUUUGAGAGCAUCCCAUCCUCCGAGGACUUUGAGCGAAAAUCAUUGAGUGAGGAAAUACCCAAACCCAAACACCUACAAACCCAAAGUGAUUGAGCAUCACUGAAGAUUGAUCCUGCGUGGAUCCAACGCUUGUUACCUUUGAAGACUGUGCUUCUUCCAGACGGUUAGGCGUCAUGGUCUAGAGCAUCCAAGAGGAAUUAUGGAUCGCCGAGUGACCGAGUCUGUGAAGGUUUGGAAGUCGCCUGAAGACUUACCACGAGUGAUUGGACGAGAUCUGUGUGACCUUAGUUCAAGGAGAAUACGGUGAGUACUUGGUGUCCUAAGCUGCAUGCUCAGCGACUGGGUGUCCAGGACUGUGUGUCCUCGAGUUUAAAUACUCAGCCGCUCCAACCAGACGUACAACUGAGACAACAGUUGGAACUGGUCUACCAAAUCAUUGUCUUCACCAACCUUACUGGUUCUAUUUCCUCAACUCUUUCAUUUCCUAAUUACUGUGUUGAGUGAUUGUUCAUAUCUGUGUUUUGAAUACUUUGACUGAAGACUUUCUCAAUUUCCUUAGUGCAAUUUCUUCAAUCUGUUUGUCUUCAUCUUGUGUUAUCCUGUGAUUACGCUUUCUGUACUCUGUGCUUGUCUUCAUUUUAUCAUGAUGACUAUGUCUGUAUCCUGUUAUGCUUACUUCUGAGUACUUAUUCCAUUGCAAGUAGUUCUUCGCUAAGGAAUUUCCUCACCUGCAAAUUCCUCAGUGAAGAAUUCAUAAAAAUCGCCUAUUCACCCCCCCUCUAGUCGAUAUAACGCACUUUCAUGUUGAAGCAGGGAAUUAUAAGGAGAAUUGGCAAUGGACGGUCUACAGAAAUAUGGAGACACAACUGGCUACCGUGCCCGGCCUGAUGAGACCUAUUCCGUCUUUGAUAAAUAAUCCACCAAAGUUGGUGUCCAACUUGAUAAACACAUCAACAACAUCUUAGAAUGAGCCUUUGGUGCGUCAGGUUUUCUUGCCAAUCGAUGUUGAGGCAAUUUUGCCGAUCCCCCUAUGUACCGGAAAUAUUGAUGAUUUAUGAUCAUGGAGCAUCGAGAAACGAGGUAUGUUCACUGUCAAAUCAGCUUAUAGAAUGAUACUUCAUAUGAAAAUCACAAGGGAAAAUUGGAUAGAUGAGGUUGAGGGUUCGUCUGGUGCUGACCGGGAAACAAAUGAGUGGACAAAGCUUUGGAAGAUUGAACUUCCAUCAAAAUUGAAAAUGUUCCUGUGGCGACUGGCUAGAUGCUUAAUGCCAACUGCGGAUCUUCUUCAACACAAGAAUAUGGCUACAUCGGCGACUUGUAGAUUAUGCGGCACUAGAGACUCUUGGAGACACGCGCUUAUAAACUUUUCGAUGGCAUGCAUUAUGUGGGCUUUAGGUGAGGAAGAAAUAGUUGAAACGACGUGCCAGAAUGAGAGCGAUAAUGCAAAGGACCGGAUUUUCCAAAUGAACACCGAGCUAUCACAUGAACAACUAGUUCGUAUGGUGAUCACGCUAUGGGUUAUUUGGGGAGCAAGAAGAAAAAGCAAUUUACGAGGAUAUUUUUCAAAGCCCAAUGUCAGCACACUCAUUUAUUCAGUCCUAUUGGAGUGAUCUCCAGGUCCUGACGAAACCACACUUCCAGCACUCACAUACCAGGCCGGCGAGGCCGUCCCAUUGUAUCCAACCGCCGGAGCACAUGAUGAAGGUGAACAUGGAUGUUGCUGUGGCGGGACGAAGAGGUGUGGGCUCAGUGGCAGCGAUAUGCAAAAACAAGGAUGGACUCUAUAUAGGUGCUUCAUGGUGGUAUUCAGAGGUAUAACUGGUCCCACAACUCUAGAAGCUCUUGCGGUGAGGGAGGCUAUGGCAUUGGCGGAUGACCUAAACUUACAAUCCAUACACGUGGCUUCAGAUUGCUUGGUGGUGAUAGAUGAUCUAAAGAGGAAGAGUGGGGCUGGUUACAGUGCUAUCAUACAUGAAAUACUAGAGUACUCUACUGGUUUUACUUAGUGUAAUUUUGUUCAUGAAUUUAGGAGCUCGAAUGUCGAAGCUCACAAUCUAGCAAAGCAUGCACUUAAACUGGGCCACCCUAGGGAUCUUCAUUUCGUCCAUGUAAACUAUGUGACAGAUCAAUAAAGCUUUGUUGAUUGUCUCAAAAAAAGCAAAAGUUGAGGAGAAUCCCCUCAAAAAAGAAAAAGGAAAGCUAGUGGUCAACCGGCGCGGAAAUCCGUUGGUGCUCCUGGGAGCGCGCUCUCCUGUCACCGGAAAAAUAUAUUUCAAAGUGUGAAAAAAAUCAAAUAAGAAUUCAGCGCAUACAUCUCGACAUUAUAUGUGUGCACGUCAAGUUUCGGUGAAAACCGACAUUUUUUGUGGCUUGUGUAAAAAAGACAAAAAGAUGUCUUGUGAAAAGCACUUUUUAAAACCGGAUUUUGUCUUUUUUACACGCGACACAUAACUUGUCGGAUUUUCGCGAAACGACUUUGUGAGCAUGUACAAUAUCGAGAUGUACACGCCAAAUUUUUGUUUGAAAUUAUUGACAUUUUAAAAUAUGUUUAAAAUAUAUUUUAAAAACCAGGAGCGCACGCUCUCCCAUGUGCCAAAACAUCACUCUCCCAACCGGCAGAUCUUUUAUCUCACAUCCGUCAUGUUCUACGCUUGACACGCAUGUUAAUGAGCGAGCACAACGCUUCUCUCCUUCAUCCAUAUCUCCACCUAAAUGGCCGCAUAUAUUUAUCUCUCCUAUCCAUGCGUUGAACCAAACCUUCACCCGCAACCUUUUUCUCGAUCUCAUCUGACCAUGCAGAGCGCUCCGUACUCCAGUUCUUGCAACUCCACAUAUCAUUCCACCUCCUGGACUUCACGCCGAAUGCAAUGGCGUGCAUGACGAUUUUCGUCCACUUAUGCAAGAACUUUGUCGGGGUCGCCCCCAAUGUGGAUUUUUUCAGGCACUACUUCGUCCCGUGGGUGGAGAACAAUGCUCACCAUUCCGGGAAUAUAAGCUGGAUACCUCGGGUGGCGAGGGAAAAUUGGGAUUACCUCUCUGGUCAGCAGCGUGGCCAAUGGGAGGAGUGGUGGGCCGACUGGUGCUGGAUCCAAGAUGAGGAGGCUUUAGAGUUUUGCGAGGCGUGGACAGAGUGUGUUGUGUGGGGCAACAACUAGAGGGAAUUUGGCCUCACUGAUGACAGGCUCCACCCGGCAAUAAACAAGAUUACCCGUCUAAAGGCUGCCGGGCUAACCACCGGGCCUGUGGGGGACGAUUUCCUCUGGCGCCGCAUCGCACCACUGCAGAAGAGGGACAGUUUUGCCUGUAGGGGAUGGAGUGGAAACUUUCUUUUUUUCUGGAGAAAAAAUGAAAACGGAGAGGAAAUAUGAAAAUGGAAAUGAAAAUUUGCAAAACGGAAACGAAAAUGGAAUUUUUUAUAUGUGGAAAUGGAAACAAAAACGGAACGACAUUUUCCGGUGGAACAGACGUGGAAAUGGAACUUUCCGUUUCCGUGACUAUGGAAUUUCUGUUUUUACUAUAGGCCUAUAGCUGCUUUGUGGCACUAGGAUCAAACAACACACAAGGACACAAUAAGCAAAAUGGAUUAUUUACGUCCAACUUUUACUACCACACGUGUACUUAACUAAUCAUAUACGCAAUUGUCAUGUACUACUACAAUACAAUGCUAAGUUGUUAACAUAAUCAUAUUAUUUUAUAGCCAUACUAAGAAUACUAGGCCCGUAAGGGUUUCUUUUUCCUGUUUUUUGGAAUUUUUUUACUGUGUUUCUUUGAUUGACGUGUGUACAAGAUGGUCUCCUAGGGUGUCAUUGAGUUGAUUUUUUCCUGCGGUCACAUUUUGUUCACUGUUGACAUUGCCACGCUGUGUGCUCUUGCUUAUUGACACAUGUGCUGUGGGGUCUCCUAGAAGGUUCAUCUUUUCCUUAAAAAAGUUUGGUCGACUGUGUGAUGGGAUGGCUGAAUUCAUGUGGCCGUUCUAGAAGUAUGUGGAUUGGUGUUGUUCCACAUGCCUUUGCAUGUCUCAUGCAUGUGGCCACGUUGGCUCCAUGCAUCGUUGACUGCCUAUGCCAUCAAUUGACACGUUGCUCUCUGGUCUUUUCUUGUGGGUUCAUUUUGUUUUCUUCUCUUCUUUUGGGUGCCUAUAAGUACUUUCCUUGUCCGGUCUUCGCUUAGUGUUAUAUCCCUCUUGUUGUGUCCUUCCUGUUCGCUUGGUACAGCGUAUUCGCUCCACGCCGUUGGGUUCCUCUUCCUCGGUUGGUGCCGCUGAUGGGAGGUAGCUUGCUCAAGAUGGUUCUGUUCAGCACACGCGGAGUCGUUGUCGGUGCGCUCGACCACGGCAAGGAGGGCGUCAACCCCGUGGACCACGCGGGAGCAGGAUCAGCGUCGGCCAUGUCCUCGCCGGGCGCCCAUUCGUGGCACACGCCAGCGUCGCGGCCAGCCACAGCGGACACCCUCAUCUCUCCAAGGGAGUGACACAACAUCGCCGACGCGGCAGGGCACGGACUGGACGCUCGGGCUCGGGCUACCCCAGCUCCUCGGCGGCUCCUCCUCCAUCGCGACGGGCGGGCGACUCGACCUGGUGAUGAAGGUGGCGAGGGCCAUGGCGAGUAGUGUAGCAGAGAAGGAUUAGGAGGAAUGAUUCACCACGCUUUGAUUAAGCUCACGGCUGGGUCUUAUGUACAGGUUACAAGGCCAGCCAGGGAGAUCAUGGGGUGAUCCACUACCUGGGAUCGUGCGCCACGAUCACUACAAGCGUGCGCCACGAUCAUAUACACACACGCUACACCUGAUGUCUACACAACUACGGUAUAGCAGUAUAAUACAGUCUAACACCCCCCGCAGUCGUGACGUUGGCGUUGGCAACGCAAAGACUGGACCGAAACUCAGAGAAAACAUCCGAUGGCAAGCCUUUGGUCAUGAUGUCGGCGAGUUGUUGACGCGUGGGGAUGUGAAGAACACGGAAGUGGCCGAGGGCGACGCGCUCGCGCACGAAGUGGAUGUCGAGCUCCACAUGCUUGGUGCGGCGAUGGUGCACCGGAUUGGCUGACAGGUAGACUGCGGACACAUUGUCACAGUACACCAGCGUCGCCUUGGUCACCAGAGCGGAGAGCUCGCCGAGGAGCUGACGGAGCCAGAUGCAUUCAGCAACCGCGUUGGCGACCCCGCGGUAUUCAGCUUCGGCACUGGAGCGUGAAACGAUCGCCUGGCGCUUGGAGGACCAGGAGACGAGAGCAUCGCCGAGGAAGACGCAGAAGCCCGACGUGGAGCGGCGGGUGUCGGGGCAGCCGACCCAGUCCGCGUCGGUGAGCGCACGGACGUCGAGCGUGGCGGAGGCUCGAAGGUGAAGCCCAAGAGCGCAGGUGCUCUUCACGUACCGGAGCACGCGUUUGACGAGCGCGAGAUGGCAUUCACGCGGGUCAUGCAUGUGCAAGCGGAUUUGCUGAACGGGCGUAGGCGAUCUCCGAGCGCGUGAUGGUGAGGUACUGCAGGGCCCCGGCGAUGCUCCGAUAGGCCAAGGGGUCGUCGACGCAGGGCCCAUCGGCGGAGGGGAGUUUGCUCUUCGUGUCGAUGGGUGUCGGGGAAGAGCGGCAGGUGUCCAUGCCGGCACGUUCCAAGAGUUCAUCAGCAUAUUGUUGUUGCGACAGGAAGAAGCCAGCAGGGGUGCGGGUGACGCGGAUGCCGAGGAAGAAGGCGAGAGAGCCCAGGUCCUUCAUGGUGAACUCGCCGGUGAGGCGCUGGAUGACAUGGUGAAGCACGCGCGGCGACGACGCGGUGAGCACGAUGUCGUCGAGGUAGAGAAGCAGGAACGUCGUGUCGUCGCCGUGACGUCAACGCCGUGGGCCUCGCGGGAGCAGGAUCCGCGCUCGGCCCCGUCGUCCGUGGCACACCCCCUACUCACGGCCAACCACAACGGACAACGUCAUCUCUCCAUGGAGUGGCACGCCGUUGCCGACGCGGCUGCAUGGCCGAGGCACUCGAGCUCCGCCCCCUCUUCGGCGCACCCGCCCGCUAGCUCGGCGGUUCAAUCUCGGGCGUGACUGGUCUCCGAGGCAGAGUCGUCGUCGGCACACUCGACCUGAUGGAUGGGGACGGCAAGGGCAAGGAGGGCAUCACGGACGAGCUCAGGCACCUAGACUUCUUCUUCCGUCACCCCACGCGUUGUGUUGAUCCAAUCCUUCAUUGCUCAAAUUUGUGUUCGCGAGCUGCAGGUUUCAGGAUGCUCAUCGACAUGUACAGACCGUCCUCCACCUUUUGUCUCAGAAGUCUCGAAUCAAAACUGUGGUUCACAUCGUAAGCGUCGAGCACUCUGAUUGAUUGCUUCCUCUGCCUAUCUUGACUGUCCACAAAGGUUGACCUACUCUGAUUGAUUGCUUACUGUCUUCACUGACAUCAAUGGUCGAUCUCUAUACAUAUGCAGGGUCUUCUAUCUACUGGCAAAAGAACUCAAAGCAUGCUAUAUUGUUAUGAUUUAUCACUGCUAUAUUGUUAGACUACUGCCUCACUAGGGAAUGAAUUUGCAGGGUAAUUCUGUACAGAGUUCAUUUAUUCAGUAAAUGCAUAUGUAGAAACAUCUGUGACUUCUGCCUCACUAGGGAAUGAAUACUAAGAAUUUGCUCUAGAAGCCGUGUGAGGGUAGAGAUAUACGACUGGAAGUAGGUUCCUGUGAUUGAAACUGUACAGGGUGAUUUCUCACGCUUCUGUACCUCUCAUUUUAUAGGCAAGCACAGUUUGCUCUUUUAAGCCACCAUUCAGAUUUUCUGUGAACAGAAUACCCUCCAAUUUCUCAUUCUUCUACUAUUCCGUUGUGCAAUAACCUUUCAAAAAGAAAAACUCUGGCUACAGAAAGCUGCAUGUAUAAUGAUGCAUAUAAUUAGCCAUGGCAAAAAUAUAUAUUUAGUUGCCACUGUAUUGUUACAUGUGAACCACAACAAAACAGGUACUGCAAAGAAGAACAAAUUCACACCUCUUUGCUGCUGUUCUAUCACAUAUCAACAGUGAACACUAGGAUUGAUUGCGUUUAUUAUAUGAUAUAAUGUAAUGUAAUUAGGCUUAUACAAUGUAAGCAGGCGUAUACAAUUUGUGUGUUUCUGCUGACGUAGCUUACCUUGACAGAGGAGGAAAGAGCAUGGCUGCCGUCUUUGUCAGGCUCACGGUGCAGAAGUUCUUGAGGAAGCACAAAACGUCCCAUGUCGAACCGCGGGCUGACAUGGUGUGAGAAUUGCCCUUAGCUGAAGAAAGGGGGAUUAUAGACACAUGGAGAUGUAGCACUUGGGUGAGUAGGUACCUGCACGACUUGUGAAUGGUCCGAAAUCUGAACCGUGAACCUCCCAUGGAUACUUGCAGCGUCUAGCUAGCUCUGACCGCCGCCGCUCCCCAAUGGUGAGCAUGUCGGAGAUCCCGUAAUCACCACGCCCUACCCUGCCGCUUCCUCUUCUCCUCUGGCUUUGGCGGCCUCGCUUUCAGGCAAGGAGCACUCGAUUGCCUCUUCUCCUCUGCCUCUGGCGGCCUCGCUUCCUCCCUCCUAUUCUUCCGAGCUCAUCACCCUGUCCGCCGACUUCUCCCUCUCUAAGCCACCCUCUACCUCGAGAGAACCACGUACCUCGCCGGGCGUGCUGCGCAGGCAGACGAGGACCACUCGAGUCCUACUGCGGGCUGAGAGGAGACGGAGGAGCCACGGCGAGGGGCGGCAUCGAGCCGGCAAUGCGAGGAACAAAUGAGAUAGGGAGAACGGGGAAUGGUGGAGGUGGGGAAUAGGCAGGGAGAUUCGAGAAGCUACACAGUGAGAGUGGAUCUCAGUCCACACCACCGCUGCGGUCCAGUCCAAGUGCAGCUAGCUAAGCACACCACGAGAAGAUGCGCGGCCAGGAUUGUGCCGCGUGCGGGAGGGUCAGACCGAACGUCAGCGUAAUAGGGUCAGUUUUCUUUGCAAUAUGUAGAACAUGCGAAAAAAGUAAGAUAAUCUAGAGCACACAAAAACGAGAACAAUUGGUAUGGAAUAGUGAUGCUUACAUUUAUUCUCAUUUAAGUUCCUUUGAGAAAAUUUGACAUAUUAUAGUAGUCGACGUUUGUGAAGUCUUAACCACUGUCUAAGAUAUUUGUUUUACCAUUUUGUAAUCAAGUUAGAAAUAUUUGAAACAUACUACAUUCUUUCGUGACCUUUUAC
rnacentral:lncRNA from 1 species